rnacentral:rRNA from 1 species
UACCAUGGUGGCGACGGGUGACGGGGAAUCAGGGUUCGAUUCCGGAGAGGGAGCCUGAGAGAUGGCUACCACUUCCAAGGAAGGCAGCAGGCGCGCAAAUUACCCAAUCCCGAGGCGGGGAGGUAGUGACAGGACAUGACGGGGCGGGGCGCACAGCGCCCUGCGACUGGGUUGAGGAAAAGAUAAAGCGAAUGACGAGAAACGAUUGGAGGGCAAGUCUGGUGCCAGCAGCCGCGGUAAUUCCAGCUCCAAUGGUGUAUAUUAAAGUUGUUGCAGUUGAAAGGCUCGUAGUCGGAAGGCGGGGCGGUGGAUGCAGAGCAGGGAGACCUGGAUCUGGGUCUGGGGCCCUUCGGGGGGCGAGGGAUGAUACCCGACCCCCCCCGUUACUGUGAGGAAAUUAGAGUGUUCAAGGCAGGCGUGUGCUUGGAUAGGUUAGCAUGGAAUAACGGGAUGGUCCGUUGGUUGGAGCGUAGGUUGAUAGGGACAGUUGGGGGCAUUGGUAUUUGGCAGUCAGAGGUAAAAUUCUAGGAUUUGCUGAAGACGGACGGGGGCGAAAGUAUUUGCCAAGGAUGUUUUCAUUGAUCAAGAACGAAAGUUGGGGGAUCGAAGACGAUUAGAUACCGGCGUAGUCUCGACAGUAAACGAUGCCGGCGGGGCGUGGGGGGGCCGAAGGCGGAUCUUCCGCGCCCUGGAGAAAUCAGAGCGUGUGGGUUCUGGGGGGAGUAUGGUCGCAAGGCAGAAACUUGAAGGAAUUGACGGAAGGGCACCACCAGGAGUGGAGCCUGCGGCUUAAUUUGACCCAACACGGGGAAACUCACCAGGUCCGGACAUGGGAAGGAUUGACAGACUGAGAGCUCUUUCGAGAUUCUGUGGGAGGUGGUGCAUGGCCGUUGUUGGUUGGUGGAGUGAUUUGUCAGGUUUAUUCCGGUAACGGGCGAGACGGGGGUGGGGUGGUGGAUGGCGAUGCAGAGAUGCAUAGUCAGUCUCACCCCAGACACGCGGCGCCAAGCCGCGGGAAGCACCCCGCAAUAACAGGUCUGUGAUGCCCUUUGAUGUUCUGGGCUGCACGCGCGCUACACUGGCAGGGGGAGCGGGGACCUGCGCCGAGAGGUGUGGGGAAUCGGGAGCGCCUGCCGUGCUGGGGAUAGAGGAUUGCAAUUGUUUGUCUUGAACGAGGAAUUCCUAGUAGGCGCGAGUCAACAGCUUGCGCCGACUACGUCCCUGCCCUCUGUACACACCGCCCGUCGCUACUACCGAUUGGAUGUGUGGGUGAGGAGGUGGGGGGGACUGAGAGAUUGGUCCUGAACACGGCCAAACCCGUUCAUCUAGAGGAAGUAAAAGUCGUAACAAGGUU